ACAAUACAAGAUAAUUAAAAUUGCAAACAUAAAAUAAAAACAUGAAAUGUUAUUUUUUUAAACCAAACAAGUCUUUAGAGCCUUUUUAUUAUUUCGUUUUGGCUCACCCACCUUAGGGCAACGAGUGUAGUGUUAGAGUAUACAUUCUGAUAUGCUUGCGUUUUGUGUUCAGUUAGGAAUCCAGAGAAAUUGCAAUGGAAAGAACAUAAACAUACCCCCUCCCCCUCCUCCCAAGGGUUUUCCUCUUCACAAAGGAUCUCCUUUCACACAUAAGCUAUCAAACAAAUAGAUUUGUUUAAUCUAUCCUUAUUUCUUCUAUUUAUACAUGAUGUCUCCUCUAAUUAACCAACUACCCAAACUAAUCUAACUCCCCUUUAUUAUUUAGGCUAACAUGUUCUUAUGUUCUUACCGCUACAGUUAAAUGUUGGUCAUAUUUUCUGUUUUAGUUAGUUGUAACAGAUCUGGACCUCUACAAAUUGCAAAGGCACAACUUCAUUUUUGUUCAUAUUCAGAAAGAUAGACAUUCUUGUUAUUGUUGUUCAGAAAGAUAGUUCAUUCAGAUUAGACUAAAGUUUCUCUUAAAUCCUCUCUUUACAUUUUUUGUCGUUUUGUCAUCUUUUCUCACACUUCCCCUCUGAUUCCAAAUUAUAUAGAACUAACCAACAAAACAGUUGUAGUUUCUCUAUAGUGAAAGUGUUAGGAUUACCUGUACAUUCCAUCCACGUACAAGAGAUGCCCCACACAGAAUGGUACUAGGCAACACUAUCAUUAAUCAGACAGCUGCCCAGUUCACAUACACGGAGUCCCCGUUAUGUGUGUGCCUCUCUCGUAUCUAUGAAUUAUAAAUCUCUAUUUCGUCUAGAAAACAAGAAUAAUAUAAUCGUGCAACAAUGAAUUGUCUUUUGAUCCAGGAACUAUGAAUAGGUACUACCCUAGCCAAGCUGUAUUAAGGAAAGGUAGUCGCGCAACAACCUUUCGUAUAUGUUAUUUUCAUAUUUAUUGUGGAUUAUUAUGUAUUUUAUGUAUCACAAUUAAUACCUUCACACUUUUAAAAUAAUAUAAUCCAUAUAUGUUUUAAUUUA